rfam:Felis catus isolate Cinnamon breed Abyssinian chromosome B3, whole genome shotgun sequence.
GCCUAGGUGGCUCUGUCGGUUGGGCAUCUGACUUCGGCUCAGGUUGUGAUCUCACGGUCCGUGGGUUCGAGCCCCGCGUCAGGCU